rnacentral:rRNA from 1 species
GAUGAACGCUGGCGGCGUGCCUAAUACAUGCAAGUCGAGCGAACAGACGAGGAGCUUGCUCCUCUGACGUUAGCGGCGGACGGGUGAGUAACACGUGGAUAACCUACCUAUAAGACUGGGAUAACUUCGGGAAACCGGAGCUAAUACCGGAUAAUAUAUUGAACCGCAUGGUUCAAUAGUGAAAGACGGUUUUGCUGUCACUUAUAGAUGGAUCCGCGCCGCAUUAGCUAGUUGGUAAGGUAACGGCUUACCAAGGCAACGAUGCGUAGCCGACCUGAGAGGGUGAUCGGCCCCACUGGAACUGAGACACGGUCCAGACUCCUACGGGAGGCAGCAGUAGGGAAUCUUCCGCAAUGGGCGAAAGCCUGACGGAGCAACGCCGCGUGAGUGAUGAAGUUCUUCGGAUCGUAAAACUCUGUUAUUAGGGAAGAACAAAUGUGUAAGUAACUAUGCACGUCUUGACGGUACCUAAUCAGAAAGCCACGGCUAACUACGUG